ACUCAGCUGAUGAGUCCCAAACAGGACGAAACGCGCGUCCUGGAU
rnacentral:hammerhead_ribozyme from 1 species